rnacentral:rRNA from 1 species
UUCCAGACUCCUACGGGAGGCAGCAGUGGGGAAUAUUGGACAAUGGGGGGAACCCUGAUCCAGCGACGCCGCGUGAGUGAAGAAGUAUUUCGGUAUGUAAAGCUCUAUCAGCAGGGAAGAAAAUGACGGUACCUGACUAAGAAGCCCCGGCUAACUACGUGCCAGCAGCCGCGGUAAUACGUAGGGGGCAAGCGUUAUCCGGAUUUACUGGGUGUAAAGGGAGCGUAGACGGCAUGGCAAGUCAGAUGUGAAAGCCCGGGGCUCAACCCCGGGACUGCAUUUGAAACUGUCAGGCUGGAGUGCAGGAGAGGUAAGUGGAAUUCCUAGUGUAGCGGUGAAAUGCGUAGAUAUUAGGAGGAACACCAGUGGCGAAGGCGGCUUACUGGACUGUAACUGACGUUGAGGCUCGAAAGCGUGGGGAGCAAACAGGAUUAGAUACCCGUGUA